rnacentral:tRNA from 1 species
UCCGGUAUGGUGUAACGGCUAACAUUGCCGCCUUUCAUGCCUACGGACGCGGCAGCUCGGGGUUCGAUUCCCCGUACCGGAA